rnacentral:misc_RNA from 1 species
UGUAAUGCUUUGUCUUGUGUAAGCUAGAUUAAGGAUUUCUUGUUUAGGUUGCUUUUCUACUUAAAUUUUGGUUUUCCUUUCCUCCAAUUAUCCUUUUUUAUUGGACUAUUGUUUGGAAUGGAAAUCCCAAAUGCUUCACAUUCCUCACACCCCAUUUGGAAAAAGAAACAAUCUUAUUCUUAUUUUAGAAUAUUUUAUUAUAGAAUUCUGGUGUUUGAAAUAUAUUAUUAAGUAAUAGAAUUUAUUUGAUGUGAUUGAAAAC